CCAGUCGUAGGGGAUGGAGUUCCCCCUGAACCGCCGUAAGGCUGAUGACUCCUGAACGGUC
rnacentral:ncRNA from 2 species